rnacentral:misc_RNA from 1 species
GGAAAACAAACAAAAGCUCACAUUAGAAGAAACAAUAUUGGGAAUAUACAUCUUGAGAUUGUUAAAAGUGUUCAGUCCUCUCUGAAGAAUCUACCAGAAGAAAGCCCAUCCAUUCCUUCAAACUGUAUAUUCUCUGAUGGCUUCCAGUGGCGUUUCCUCUGAUUUAUGAACCAAUUGUUAAUUUGCUUUUGAUCUAGUCCCGUUCUCUCUGCCAAUGCAACCUUGUCGGCUUCCGUAGGAUAUGGCCAUUUAUAGUGAACGUUCCACCAUUCAAAGAGUGUUUGCCUGGCUUCUUUUGGUAAUUUUCCUUUUUUCUUCUUCUUUGAGAACUCCAAUUUUAAGGUACUAAUAUGACUCCCAAAUCUACGUAGAAGCUUGUCCUUGAGAUCCCUGUUCUCGCCUUUGGUUUGAGCCUCCGCCUCCACAACUUCCAUC